ACUUCUUCGGAGGCAUCAAAGGGGCAUUAUGCGCAAGGGCGCAAGCGUGAUUCAAUCAUUUUGUUUAUAAGAAGGCUUAAGGAUCGUAAAGUACUUUCAGCGGGACGAAGCGAUAGAAUGAAAACCUUUCGAUUGACAUUACCGCGGAAGAAACACAGGCUUAGUCUGUCCAGCAGCCACGGUACACGGAGGGUGCAAGCGUAGUCGUAAUAACUGAGCGUAACGCGCAUGCAUGCGGUGGGUAAAGUCAGAUGUGCAGUCGCCGGGCUUAACCUGGUAAUUUCAUGUGAAACUGGCAGGCUUGAGUCUUGUAGAGGGGGGUAGAAUUCCAGGUGUGGCGGUGAAAUGCGUAGAGAUCUCGAGGAAUACCGGCGGCGAAGGCGGCCCCCUGGACAAUGACUGACGCUCAGGUGCGACAGCGUGGGGAGCAUUCAGGAUUAGAUACCCUGGUAGUCCACGCCGUAAACGAUGUCGACUUGGAGGUUGUUCCCUCGAGGAGUGGCUUCCGGAGCUAACGCGUUAAGUCGACCGCCUGGGGAGUACGGCCGCAAGGUUAAAACUCAAAUGAAUUGACGGGGGCCCGCACAAGCGGUGGAGCAUGUGGUUUAAUUCGAUGCAACGCGAAGAACCUUACCUACUCUUGACAUCCACGGAAUUUGGCAGAGAUGCCUUAGUGCCUUCGGGAACCGUGAGACAGGUGCUGCAUGGCUGUCGUCAGCUCGUGUUGUGAAAAGUUGGGUUAAGUCCCGCAACGAGCGCAACCCUUAUCCUUUGUUUCCAGCGAUUCGGUCGGGAACUCAAAGGAGACUUCCGGUGAUAAACCGGAGGAAGGUGGGGAUGACGUCAAGUCAUCAUGGCCCUUAAGAGUAGGGCUACACUCGUGCUACAAUGGCGCAUACAAAGAGAAGCGACCUCGCGAGAGCAAGCGGACCUCACAAAGUGCGUCGUAGUCCGGAUCGGAGUCUGCAACUCGACUCCGUGAAGUCGGAAUCGCUAGUAAUCGUGGAUCAGAAUGCCACGGUGAAUACGUUCCCGGGCCUUGUACACACCGCCCGUCACACCAGGGGAGUGGGUUGCAAAAGAAGUAGGUAGCUUAACCUUCGGGAGGGCGCUUACCACUUGGAUCAGACCGGUUA
rnacentral:rRNA from 1 species